GAAAGAGUCUACUGAUAGUUCGGAAGAAAGUGAUUCUGAUGAGGAAGACAGCGAUUCUGACAAGGAAGUGGCUGCCAAAAAGCCUGCUGCUGUUCCUGCUAAAGCUCAACCGGUCAAGAAGAUAGAAGAGAGCUCAGACAGUAGUUCUGAGGAUGAGGACGAGGACGAGGACAAUACUCCAAAGAAAUCUGCUGUUCCUUCUGAGAAGAAAGAUUCCAAAAAGAAAGCACAAGAAAAGAUGGAUGUGGAUAGUGAUGAAAGUGAGGAUGAAGAAGAGAGUGACGACAGUUCCAGUGAAAGUGACGAGGAGGAGAAGAAACCACAAAAGAAGAAGAAAGUGGAUACUGAUGUAGAAAUGGUAGAAGCUGCAUCACCGAAAGAAGUUGCCAAGCAAUCAAAGAAAGAAGCACCUAAAACUCCUUCUACUCCAAAAGAUCAGAGUGGUGAAUCAAAGACACUAUUUGUUGGCAACCUGUCAUUCCAAGUUGAACAGGCUGAUGUGGAAAAUUUCUUUAAAGAUGUUGGAAAACCUGUU
rnacentral:misc_RNA from 1 species